GUUUUUGCAUUCGUGCUUGUUAAAAGGAAUUGGUAUUGUCGCCAUUUGAUUUUAAGGUCUUCUAUGUCUGAGCUGGUGGCCGCCUGGGCCAGGUGGUUAAGACUGGAUAGCGAUGGCCACUCUGUAGAGUGCAAGUGGGAAACUAGGCAAGAAUGCUUCUACGAAUUCUUCUCAUCCGACAUUAUUGUAAGUCUGAUCACACUGCAGGAACUUUUUCCUUUAAAUGGAUUCUCAGAUUACUACGAAUUUAAUUUUUCUUGGAUUCUCGGACUACUACUGGCACUGCGUUAGGUGUUCUAACUUCGGAACUGGUUUAGAAAA